GCUACUGGAAGAAUUCCUCUUUGGCUGAUAGGUACUGUAGCCGGUAUUGCUAUGAUUGGUUUAGUAGGUGUUUUCUUUUAUGGUUCAUAUUCUGGAUUGGGUUCAUCGCACGAAAGCCAGUUAGAAAAUGGAUUCCUAUUUGAAGAGUGCCUAACCGCAUGGAUAAGCUCACAUUAA
rnacentral:rRNA from 1 species